rnacentral:rRNA from 1 species
GACAGAGGAUGCAAACGUUGCUCGGAAUUACUGGGCGUAAAGCGCGUGUAGGCGGGAAGAUAAGUCGGGUGUGAAAUCCCUGGGCUCAACCUAGGAACUGCAUCCGAAACUGCCUUUCUGGAGUGAUGGAGAGGAAAGCGGAAUUCCCGGUGUAGAGGUGAAAUUCGUAGAUAUCGGGAGGAACACCAGUGGCGAAGGCGGCUUUCUGGCCAUCAACUGACGCUGAGACGCGAAAGCGUGGGGAGCAAACAGG